rnacentral:rRNA from 1 species
UACGUAGGGCGCAAGCGUUUGUCCGGAAUUAUUGGGCGUAAAGAGCUCGUAGGCGGUUUGUCGCGUCUGCUGUGAAAACCUAAGGCUCAACCUUGGGCUUGCAGUGGGUACGGGCAGACUAGAGUGCGGUAGGGGUGACUGGAAUUCCUGGUGUAGCGGUGGAAUGCGCAGAUAUCAGGAGGAACACCGGUGGCGAAGGCGGGUCUCUGGGCAACAACUGACGCU